rnacentral:rRNA from 1 species
GUCUUUUUGAAUUUAAUUUAAAGUCUAGCCUGCCCACUGAAAAUUUUAAAUGGCCGCAGUAAUUUGACUGUGCAAAGGUAGCAUAAUCAUUAGUUUUUUAAUUAAAAGCUUGUAUGAAAGGUUGGACGAGGUAAAAUCUGUCUCUAUUUAAUUUAAAAUAGAAUUUAAUUUUUAAGUUAAAAAGCUUAAAUAAAAUUAAAAGACGAGAAGACCCUAUAGAGCUUUAUAAUUUUUAUAUUAAAAUUUAUAAAGAAUAUUUUACAUUUUAUUAUAAUAAAUUAUUUUAUUGGGGUAAUAAAAAGAUUAAAAAAAUUCUUUUUGAAUAAUUACAUUAAUUUAUGAUUUAUAUGAUCCAAUUUUAUUGAUUAUAAGAUUAAGUUACCUUAGGGAUAACAGCGUAAUUUUUUUAGAGAGUUCAUAUCGAUAAAAAAGUUUGCGACCUCGAUGUUGGAUUAAAAAUUAAUUUAGGUGCAGAAGCUUAAAUAUUUGGUCUGUUCGACCAUUAAAUUUUUACAUGAUCUGAGUUCAGACCGGUGUAAGCCAGGUCGGUUUCUAUCUUUAAUUAAUUAAAAUAUUUUAGUACGAAAGGACCAAAUAUUUAAUAUAUUUAUAUUUAUAAAUUUGAAUAUUAUUAAA